rnacentral:lncRNA from 1 species
GUGUGCCGCUUUUUCUGAAAAAGCUACAGUUUGAGCUUGUCAUUUGCAUUAGCACAAGAACCACCUGAGAUUUCUCAAAUCAAAAUGUUUCCCUCUGAUCAAUCAAACACUGCCCAAGGUCCCCACCCUAUCCAGGACUGAGGAGACUGCCCUGGGCCUACCUGCUCCUUGGAAAUCGCUGACCUAUUCCUCCCCAAAGGCCCUCAAAGCUCUGUAAAACUUUAGCCUUUAUGUCAGAUUAGAAAAACCAAACGAUGUGACGGUGGAUGUGAUGAAAACCUCCGAGCUUAUUUUUCUCCUGCCUAUGAACGUGUAUUUAUACUUGCCGAAUGAAAACCGUGAUGUGUGCUGCGGUGAAUGGAAUUUCAGGCUCCCCCUGUGCACAGUCAGUGGGCGAAGGUCACCUUAAACGACUUUUUCCUCCCAUUUGUCUGUUGAUCCCCCAAAUGGUUGCUUUUCUCUGGUUGCUUCCCGGGUGUCUGUCCAUAGUUUGUCUUUGCACCGGAGCGCACUCCUGUGUUCUGCUUUAACCGACGACGGCUGUAUGAGGAAGACAAUGUAAAUAGAAUACAAAUUAAACUGGAGCUCUAUGGCCUAGGUUUUGUACAGACAGAAACUGCAUGG